UACACAAUAUGAAGAAAGAAGGGAUGGACAAUAAAGUCGAGUAGUUGCAGGCAUAUCCGUCGGGAAUUUGGCACGCCUAUUGUAAUGCUUUAUAUAAUGUACACUACCUUUUCUGUGGAGGGCCAUAGGGUAAAUUGUUGUUAGCUCUGGUGGUUCGAUCUGUAUCAUUUUUCAACUGCCCUGUGUGUAUAUAUAUUUGUUUACCGGCCUGAGGAGAUCCCUCUCGAGUAGAUAGAUCUCUGCAUAACUUUUAGUGAGCCCCCCAUCGAUAGCCACGUGAAUUGUGGUGGUCCUUGGGGUGCUGCCCUAGAUGGCAGGGUUAUAGCCCUGUGAAGGGGACCGUCCCUGCUGCGUUGCGGCAUCAUACUCGAUCAUGUAGCUGGUUUUCUGAUGAUAUUAGCAAUGACAGGUGGAGCUUGGGCAGUUUGCCAACAAUCAAGAUGGCGCGUGUAUGCCUGGAGUACACUGGGCAUGCGCGGAACAUCGCACACACCAGGGAUGAGUACGGAACGGCGGAGUGGAAAUGCGCAUGCGCCGGGAGUCGUUUGUGAUGCAUGACGCACUCAGCCGGCCGUGUAUCCCCUGAUUGGCACUCCUCUGAGCAGGCGCAAUAGAAGACAUACAACGCCGUGAUGGUGGAUUGAUAGCGUGUCUUACCCGAUGGCUCUUGUUUUCCCACCUGGUGAUGCUGCGGAUGUAUCUUUGCGACUCUGCCUUGAUGACCUGUCAGCGUCCUGCUCUUUCUCCUCUGUGAGUGGCACUAGGAACCGGCGUAUUGAUUCCUGUAUGUCUCCACGGGUCCUCUGCAUGUGUCACGUGCGUUGGCGGUCACGUGGUCCUCCGCGUCGGGCUGCUACUGGGGCUGGGCUGGGACAAUCUCCAGUGAUCGCGCCGCGCUGCUCCCUCUCUCCAGCCGUAGAGUUGCUAGGCAACCGAAGCCGUGUGGGACGCCGCUUGCGAGUGAGUCGGAUAAUCCGAUCUGGACAUCCAAUAUGACAGUGUUUGCCGAGGUCAAACGAGCCCCCCUUUACGGAGCCUCGCGCCCCCCCAAUAUUGCUUGUGUCAAACUUGAAUAGCUCCAAGGGGGUAUAAACAUAUAACAUUGAUGUAUGGGGGCGCGGGCCUGUCAGGAAGGAGAGAUCUGGGUGCUGAACAAGGAAUUGUUGGAAACGUAAGGACUUUGAAGUUCCUAACAAAGUGACAUAUGAAAACUACAGAAAUAUGGACAUUCGAUAGAAAUACAAUAUCGAUUUAAUGACCAUUACAUAUACUUUGGAAAGAAAGAAAUCGCGAGUUCCAGUUAAUACAAAUGGGACCCAUAUCCACCUCUUCCAGAUAUCCCUCACUGUCCCAGCAUGCAUUGUCCUAAUUAUGGAUGCUAUAUAAAGGAGGACAUGAGACCAUCACUGUUUAAACCACUGAAGAAGGAGUUGUUUCACCCCGAAACGCGUUUGGUAAUUAACAGUGAGGGAUCAUCGAGAAAGGAGCGCUCCAAUAACGGCAUACUCUAAAAAUCGCAUAUUCCAAUAUUGGGGAUAGUAGCGAUCUUUGAAUCGACUACGCACAUCUACAGGUGAUCCGAAUUUCCGCUCGAAAACUUUAAAUCACAUGACCGAACAGUGAACCACGUGGGACGCCACGUAGGUCCUGGCAGGUCACAACGGGGAACUGUGCUACACUACCGCACCGUAUUCACAGGAGCGGGGGAAAUUUUCACCCACAGCUUCAUGCAGAUGAUGGUGGAUAUUGGCGAUAACAGAUGAAGAUUUGGUAAUGUAAAACAACCAAUAUAAUACCAUUAACUUCCUGUGGCUUUUAACAUUUCUGAGUGCAUACGAACAUAUGAUCCUGGGGCCAGUUCGACUGAACUGAUACGAUUGCGAUAUAGACCCGAUUGUUCCUCUCCUAUACCGGAUUAUGCGUAUUGGGAUAUUUUGUAAAUUGCGGUAUUUUUUACUUUUUUAUGAUAUGUAAUGAUGUGUAUGUGAUACAUUUAUGUUUACUCAUUUUAAAGAUUUACUAAAGAUUUUAUUUUGGAUACAA